rnacentral:rRNA from 1 species
GACGAACGCUGGCGGCGUGCCUAACACAUGCAAGUGGAGCGACGAACCAGGCUUCGGCCUGGGGCAAAGCCGCGAACGGGUGAGUAACACGUGGGUAACCUGCCCUGAUGAUUGGGACAACCCGAGGAAACUCGGGCUAAUACCAAAUGUGCCCUUCGGCCACAAGGCCGCUGGGGAAAGGAAGCUUCGGCCUCCGCAUCUGGAUGGGCCCGCGGCCCAUUAGCUUGUUGGUGAGGUAACGGCUCACCAAGGCGACGAUGGGUAGCUGGUCUGAGAGGACGAUCAGCCACACUGGGACUGAGACACGGCCCAGACUCCUACGGGAGCAGCAGUGGGAAUCUUGCGCAAUGCGCGAAAGCGUGACGCAGCAACGCCGCGUGGGGGAA